rnacentral:rRNA from 1 species
UAAUACUGAGGGUGCAAGCGUUAAUCGGAAUUACUGGGCGUAAAGCGAGUGUAGGCGGCAAUAUAAGUCGGAUGUGAAAGCCCUGGGCUCAACCUGGGAAUUGCAUUCGAUACUGUAUAGCUAGAAUUUGAGAGAGGGAAGUGGAAUUCCGGGUGUAGCGGUGAAAUGCGUAGAUAUCCGGAGGAACACCAGUGGCGAAGGCGGCUCCCUGGCUCAAAAUUGACGCUGAGGCUCGAAAGCGUGGGGAGCAAACAGGAUUAGAUACCCUGGUAGUCCACGCCCUAAACGAUGUCAACUAGACGUUGGGCUUAUUAAUAAGCUUAGUGUCGAAGCUAACGCGUUAAGUUGACCGCCUGGGGAGUACGGCCGCAAGGUUG